CAACCCUCAAGCACUGCUUGGUAUUGGGCUCCGCUGGCUCCAGCGGGCCUUAAAAUCAGUGGCGGCGCCGUUUGGGCUCUGAGCGUAGUAAAUAUCCUCGCUAUAGAGACCAGGCGGUUCUUGUCAUCAACCCCCAACUUUCUAAGU
rnacentral:misc_RNA from 1 species